UCUUAUGGAUGAGCAAAGAAAGUAGUUUUUUGAGAUGGAAUCUGCUUUUGUGACAAUACUAUGAA
rnacentral:pre_miRNA from 1 species